GACGAACGCUGGCGGCGUGCUUAACACAUGCAAGUCGAACGGAAAGGCCCCUUCGGGGGUACUCGAGUGGCGAACGGGUGAGUAACACGUGAGUAACCUGCCCUUGACUUCGGGAUAACUUCAGGAAACUGGGGCUAAUACCGGAUAGGAAUCCUUGCUGCAUGGUGGGGGUUGGAAAGCUUCGGCGGUUUUGGAUGGACUCGCGGCUUAUCAGCUUGUUGGUGGGGUAGUGGCCUACCAAGGCUUUGACGGGUAGCCGGCCUGAGAGGGCGACCGGCCACAUUGGGACUGAGAUACGGCCCAGACUCCUACGGGAGGCAGCAGUGGGGAAUAUUGCACAAUGGGCGGAAGCCUGAUGCAGCAACGCCGCGUGCGGGAUGACGGCCUUCGGGUUGUAAACCGCUUUCAGCAGGGGCGAAGCUUGUGGUGACGGUACCUGCAGAAGAAGCACCGGCUAACUACGUG
rnacentral:rRNA from 1 species